GGUCCGCUGAAGGUUACACCAUUUAUGGUCGAGUGAAGAUCCCCAACAAUUUAGAAACAAAAGACUAUAUAAUUCCUGGAAAAGUGUCGAAUGUCAAAGUCAUACUCAAUGGUGGUCAGAGAGUUACUUUUUUGAGGCUUGAUGGAUAUUUCUCAUUCCACAAUGUCCCAAAUAUUUCUUGAUGGAUGCUUCAUGAGAUCUGAAAAUUAUAGCUUCUUUGAUGAGUAUGCAGGGCCAGGGGAUA